UCCGCGCAAAAAGAAAAACAAAUUUUCACAUCCCAUCUCUCCAUCCCCCAAUUCCUCUUUCAGCCGAGAUCCAUGGGCCAUGACUCUGCCGCCACGACCUCCGGUUCGGCCUAGCUCUAGUGCUCUCCCACGCCCUUGCUCGCUGGCCCUAGCUCCCCCCCUGAGUACUAUCCUCUGAUCUUCCGCCGCCGUGACAUGACAUCCUCCGGGCCCUUGCACGUGCCCCUGGAGCAACCCUAGUCUCAACGGGUCACCGCUGCAGCUCCCUGCUCCUCCGGUUCGUCAACUCAUUAACCCCUGCAUCUCCACACGCAUGGGUGCUGCCCCUGGCUCGACGGUGCUGCUCCGCGUGGCUAACUCCACUCCAACAACAAUGGUUUAGGUUUGCCGUCGUGGCGUCGUAGAUCACGGCUGGAUACAACAAAAAUCGCGACCACUCUCUACGGGGAGGCUGCCAUGGUCGCCUACGGCUUACCCCACCGUUCAGGCGCUCACCUAGAUUCAUGUCCCUCAACGACGUGGUUGUCCCCUUAUCCUCAAUGAUCCAUUCCCCCCUAAUUAACAACAUGGCGGCUUCUAUAAUUCUAUUGGCAUGUGGUGCCCCAACUUCUCUAAACUUCCACUUGUGCAAUGGGAGGACCAAUUAGAACAAAAUAAUUAUUUUACCUUGGAUGAUCAUUCACCAGUCUUGUUUCCACAUCAAUGGCUGCAUCUUUCGAGACUUAUCAGGAGUGAGUCUAGUUUUCCGUCGAAACAAGGGUGAGUGCGCAUUAUUUAUUCACUCCUUUUACAAAAGCUUCUGUUGUCAAGGAGGAGAUAUUCGGUAAUAAGGAGAGGUUAUAUGAAUCAUAGUCUAAACAUCCCGGACUUGCCAGCAUACGAAGGUAUGUGGGUAAAAAAAUUGUUUCGUUUGAACAUUUUUGUUUAGUUUCAGUUAAUUCUAAAUACUGAAAUCUUUGUACUUAUGUUCAAGUUAUGAUGAAUUGCAAUCAUUUUUAGACCAGAAAGAUGCAUCACAACAAAGCCGCUUCGCACAAUGCUGUACUACAUCUUUUAUUCUCACUAGUAUGUGAAUUUUAAGUUUUUACUUAAUUAUUGAACUAUGGUCUUGCAGGUUAAUAUAAAGAUACAAAAGCUACUUGAGGUAAUCAUAUUUUCGAAUUUUAUGAGUUCUGGGAAGAUAAAUAGGACCAACGAUGAUGAGAGCACGUCAAUGACAUCACAUAGGUGUGGUAUUCAUCAAUCCCUUCUUUCUUUCUGUCUGUGCGUUUCAUGUGUAUACAAAUUCAUCUUUAUAUGCCAUAUUAAUUUUUCAUUUAGAUUCAGGAUGCAGGACGUUUCCCCAUCCGCCCGCAACCAAAAUGGUAGGAUUCGCACCACCCCGUCUCCGUAAGUUUUAACUGCCUGCUACAGUUGGCGGGCACAUGCGGACUUCCAUGUCUCUGUUUAGCUGAUGUUCGUAGUGCUAAGUACAGUACGCUAGUUUGCAAGUUGGCUGCUAUACAGUAUACACAUUCAUAUGUCACUGUCUACAUUCAGAUUUCUAGUUUGUAAACUACACGCUCAUGUAGACAAUCAGCUAUGUAGACAUAAAAUAUGCUAAUGCCAACACAUUCAGAUUAUGUAUAUAUAUAAUUUUCGUAUGCUGAAUCCGCAGUUAUAAUAUCUUUGUACAGAAUAUAAUAGCUUGUACUGAGUUAAUGCAGUAUACUAUGCGCAUGCACUAUUCCUUCAAUAGUAAGAGUAAUACUGCAAAUCUUCCGGUUCCAUAAAGAAUUCAUAGUAAUGGUAAUAAAGAAGGGGCCUGAUGCUCCUUCAAGAAUUCUGAUUAAGUAAAGUACAGUACCAACUUCAACAUUUCAGCAUAAUAAGCACAUGAGGCGAGCCAUGAAAAAUCGGAAAUUUCCAUUUUGGCAUCCUCUUUCCUUGAUAGAUCUUCCUCACUACUUAUUGGUUCUGCACACAAGGAAAUUAUUUCAGACCAAAGCAUCAUUUCAAGCAAGAAUGCAUUUCCAAUUAUAGAUCAAUAAAAAAUGGUUUAACAGAUAAUGAUGAGGAGUUCGCGAGGAAAAUUAGUAAUGAAGUCUUCUGACAAGCCAAGAACAAUGUGCUAGGAACUUAUAUUAGCGAUCAUGUGCCAGUACUUAGAAUCUGAAGUAGUUGUUUGAUAUCUGCUGGCAUUAGUAGAAGUAAAUUUGAAUUAUUCUCACUAAAAUUGCCCGAGAUGACAUCUUUUCUUCGCUGAUGGUGUGGCGUGCAUACCAGUUCUAUUGAGAAACUGUUAGUAGAAGCACUUGACUAGAUUCGAAUGAUCUAAGUACAACAAGCAGCCACUUACUACUAGCAGCUAUAGUUUCUCUGAGCACACACUGCUCAUUACAACAACUAACUAAGAUUAAAGUUUCCUUUGCUUGUUUUCAGGUGCAGAACCCACGUGUUUAGAGUUCAAACAUAUUCUUACAACAUGUAGCAGUAGUCCUUCCAUGUUGCUGAUAAACCACUCAUCCAAUUUUAUAUCCGCUCAUGUGAUAGCUUUAUUAUUUCCUCCACAUUUAGCACAAUCUGUUCACCCAUUACAAUCGAUGUUAUUAAUUGAAUAUGUUGACGUGCAUUUCACUGUACCAAAUUUACAGGAUUAUAGCCAGAAUUAGUUUUUUUACCUACAUGCUUUUCUUUGCUUAUAUUGUCUGAACCUAAAUUUGUACAUGACUCCAAAGGGAUCACCUCGAAAUAAGAAGGAAAUUCUUGUUUAUAACUUGCACUUUAAAUUCGUCCAGAACUUAUUUAUUAUCCAAAGUAGUAAUACUAAUUGUUUCUAUUUUCUUCAUUGCUAGCAGUAUAGCGGCAACUAGCAGGAACUAUCUUCAGGAUAUGGAGCUAUGGAUGCCAUGAGACACUGAUCAUUUGCGUUUAGUUGAUGAAGAUUGAACAUGUCAGUCUAGAUGCUCCUGUGCUGAGCUUAGGUUUUGUUUUAUGCAAUGAAGCUUUGAUCCAUUUCUAGGUACAGUGCACAUGUUCUUGCUAUACACAUGUGUACAAGCUGAAUGUAAUACUUAGAACAAAGCAUAUCUAUAUACAAUAUCAUGUACUUUGGAUGGUGUUCUUUGUAAAGCAACAUUGUUGA